rnacentral:lncRNA from 1 species
ACCCAAACCCACCAGCUGGACGAGGAACCACGGGACGGGACGUUAGAAUCAGAGUAACAUUGGCCAACAAUCUGAGACACUUGGGAGAAAAUUCAUUCUAAAUCUAACAGCUUCCUGCUCUCAGGAAGGCCUCUGGGCUUCCGGUGCCUCUGGUCCUCCUUCCCGGCUCUUCUGUGGAGGCUAGCUUCCUCCAAGCUGACCCCCAGGGAGCCGCCUUCUCGUAGGUGGAAAGCGAAGAGAGCGGGUAAGCAGUGGAGACACAUUGGCUGUACUCAGGACCUGUACCAGAGGUGGCAGGAGGACACCACCGAGCCCUGCUCCACCCAUCGCAGCCUCGAGACCCUCUGCGCGGGGAUGCUGACCCCUGCUGGCCACCUGAGAGAUUGCAGCGUGGCCGACUCCCAAGGGGCGGCAAGGGUUAAGGGAAAAAGAGUGAGAGGAGCCGUAAGGGCUAUGGAGCCCAAAUCAGCAUGCCUCUAGGACCUACCUGAGCCUCUAGAAGACCCCUCAACAGGAACCGUUGUCCGAACCAACCAACUCCAAACCUAAACCUCAGAGGCCUCCUCAUGCAGACAGAUUGCUGACCUAUCUCUGGGGUAGUCAGCUGAAAUACCCCAGAGAUAUUCACAGCCUAAUCCCAGGAAGUUUCUUUAAAUGGCAAAAGAAACCUAGAGUGUUACCCUAGAUUAUUUAGGUAGAUUCUACAUGUUAUCAGGUAUAUCACCAAAGGGGAACUGAGGUAAAGGAAUAUUUAUUUCACUACAGAACAGAAGGCAAGCCAUCUUGCAGGAGGACGUGAAGGAGAGAAGGAGAGAGUCAGGAGAGGACAGAUUCCCUCUACAAUGCCCAGAGUUUCCCCUGACACACUGAUUUGGACCCAAUGAAACUAAUUCCAAACUCUGGUGUCAAGAACUUUAAAAGAAUAAAUGUGUGCUGUUUUG